GACGGGACCCCGCACAAGCGGUGGAUCAUGUUGUUUAAUUCGAUGAUACGCGAAGAACCUUACCAGGUCUUGACAUCCCCCGCGAUGCUUUAGAGAUAAAGCGGAGGUAUUCGGGGAGACAGGUGGUGCAUGGUUGUCGUCAGCUCGUGUCGUGAGAUGUUGGGUUAAGUCCCGCAACGAGCGCAACCCCUAUUGCUAGUUACCAUCAUUAAGUUGGGGACUCUAGCGAGACUGCCAGUGAUAAACUGGAGGAAGUGGGGAUGACGUCAAAUCAUCAUGCCCCUUAUGACCUGGGCUACAAACGUGAUACAAUGGCUGGAACAAAGGGAUGCGAAGCAGUGAUGUGGAGCGAAACCCAUAAAAACAGUCUCAGUUCGGAUUGAAGUCUGCAACUCGACUUCAUGAAGUCGGAAUCGCUAGUAAUCGCGGAUCAGAACGCCGCGGUGAAUACGUUCUCGGGGUUU
rnacentral:rRNA from 1 species